rnacentral:rRNA from 1 species
UACAGAGGGUGCAAGCGUUAAUCGGAAUUACUGGGCGUAAAGCGUGCGUAGACGGUUAUGUAAGUCAGAUGUGAAAGCCCCGGGCUCAACCUGGGAAUUGCAUUUGAGACUGCAUAGCUAGGGUGCGGAAGAGGGAAGCGGAAUUUCCGGUGUAGCGGUGAAAUGCGUAGAUAUCGGAAGGAACACCAGUGGCGAAAGCGGCUUCCUGGGCCCGGACCGACGUUCAGGCACGAAAGCGUGGGGAGCAAACAGG